AUUGAACGCUGGCGGCAGGCCUAACACAUGCAAGUCGAGCGGAUGAAGGGAGCUUGCUCCUGGAAUAAGCGGCGGACGGGUGAGUAAUGCCUAGGAAUCUGCCUGGUAGUGGGGGAUAACGUCCGGAAACGGGCGCUAAUACCGCAUACGUCCUGAGGGAGAAAGUGGGGGAUCUUCGGACCUCACGCUAUCAGAUGAGCCUAGGUCGGAUUAGCUAGUUGGUGGGGUAAAGGCCUACCAAGGCGACGAGCCGUAACUGGUCUGAGAGGAUGAUCAGUCACACUGGAACUGAGACACGGUCCAGACUCCUACGGGAGGCAGCAGUGGGGAAUAUUGGACAAUGGGCGAAAGCCUGCUCCAGCCAUGCCGCGUGUUUGAAGAAGGUCUUCGGAUUUUAAAGCACUUUAAGUUGGGAGGAAGGGCAGUAAGUUAAUACCUUGCUGUUUUGACGUUACCAACAGAAUAAGCACCGGCUAACUUCGCG
rnacentral:rRNA from 1 species